CCUACGGGAGGCAGCAGUGGGGAAUUUUCCGCAAUGGGCGAAAGCCUGACGGAGCAAUACCGCGUGAGGGAAGAAAGCCUACUGGGUUGUAAACCUCUUUUUUCAGGGAGGAAAAAAAUGACGUGUACCUGAAGAAUAAGCAUCGGCUAACUCCGUGCCAGCAGCCGCGGUAAGACGGAGGAUGCAAGUGUUAUCCGGAAUUACUGGGCGUAAAGCGUCUGUAGGUGGUUUAAUAAGUCAACUGUUAAAUCUUGAGGCUUAACUUCAAAACAGCAGUCGAAACUAUUAGACUAGAGUAUAGUAGGGGUAAAGGGAAUUUCCAGUGGAGCGGUGAAAUGCGUAGAUAUUGGAAAGAACACCGAUGGCGAAAGCACUUUACUGGGCUAUUACUAACACUCAGAGACGAAAGCUAGGGUAGCAAAUGGGAUUAGAUACCCCAGUAGUCCUAGCUGUAAACAAUGGAUACUAGAUGUUGAACAGAUGACCUGUGCAGUAUUAAAGCUAACGCGUUAAGUAUCCCGCCUGGGAAAGUNUGNUCGCAGAGAGAACGUACGAAAGAAGUAGACGGCGUGUAAGUACGUAGUUACGAACGACGACGACGAGGGAGGAGG
rnacentral:rRNA from 1 species